rnacentral:rRNA from 1 species
AUGCUCAAUGAGGCACUCCUCCUCCUCCCACAGGAACUCGAUGUAGCGCGCAAGGUCGAUGACGCACGUGCGGGCCUCCACCUCCGCCUCCUGCCUUCGGGCGGUGGUGGCGGAGCGGGUGAUGACCCCCGCGGUCAACGAUGGGCUAGCGGCCACGACCACCACCUCCCGCCUUCGGGCCGCGGUGGCGGAGCGGUGAUGGCCAUGGUGGUCGGCAGUGGGGUGGCGGCCACGACGGCCACCUCUCACCUUCGGGCCACGGCGGCAGAGCGGGAGAUGGCCCUGACUUUCGAUGGUGGUGUGGUGGCCACGGCGGCAGACGGUGGGGUGGCGAGAACAGCGACCGGCAACAACUGCCGACGGGAAGCGGCGGUGGAGCGUGUGGUGGGUACUCCGCACACACGCAACAGGGACACCAUGCACACUACACUAUGCCGGCUGGAGCUGUCCUCUGAUGACGGCGGAGUGGCUGAGCGACGAUAA